ensembl:snRNA Gm23216 U6 spliceosomal RNA
GUGCUUUCUUUAAGAGCAUGUAUACUAAAACUGGCAUGAUAUAGAGAAUAGCAUGGCCCAUGCACAAGGAUCCCAUGCAAAUCUGUGAAGCAUUCCAAAUUUUU